rnacentral:rRNA from 1 species
GUGAACGCUAGCGGAGUGCUUAAUACAUGCAAGCCGAGCGGGUAGCAAUACCACGCCGCGCACGAGGUGAGUAACACGUAAAUAACCUGGCUUCAAGUUUGGGAUAACAGUUCCAACGAACUGCUAAUACCGGAUGUGGCGGAUUUUCGGCAUCGAAGAUUCGUUAAAGUAGUAAUACGCUUGAAGAUGGAUUUGCGGACUAUUAGUUAGUUGGCGAGGUAACUGCUCACCAAGACAAUGAUAGUUAGCCGGCCUGAGAGGGUGAACGGCCACAAUGGGACUGAGACACGGCCCAUACUCCCACGGGAGGCAGCAGUAAGGAAUAUUGCGCAAUGGAUGAAAGUCUGACGCAGCAACUCCGCGUGAUGGACGAAGGUCUUCGGAUUGUAAACAUCUUUUAUCUGUGAAGAAAAGUUAAAGAUUGACGGUAGCAGAUGAAUAAGCUCCGGCUAAAUAUGUGCCAGCAGCCGCGGUAAUACAUAUGGAGCGAGCGUUACUCGGAAUCACUGGGCGUAAAGGGUGCGUAGGCGGUCAUAUAAGUCGCAGUUUUAACUUCGGGGCUUAACCCCGAUUGUGAUUGCGAUACUGUUUGACUUGAAUACUUGAGAGGUAAAUGGAAUUUCCGGUGUAGCGGUGGAAUGCGCAGAUAUCGGAAAGAACACCAAUGGCGAAGGCAGUUUACCGGCAAGAUAUUGACGCUGAGGCACGAAAGCGUGGGGAGCAAACAGGAUUAGAUACCCUGGUAGUCCACGCCGUAAACGAUGGACAUUAGUCGUUGGGUCGUAAGAUUCAGCGGCGUGGAUAACUUGCUAAAUGUCCCGCCUGGGUAGUACGACCGCAAGGUUGAAACCCAAAGGAAUUGACGGGGACCCGCACAAGCGGUGGAGCAUGUGCUUUAAUUCGAUGCGACGCGAAGAACCUUACCCGGUCUUGACAUAGUUCUGACCACUGUAGAGAUACGGUUUUCAGCAAUGACAGGACAUACAGAUGCUGCAUGGUUGUCGUCAGCUCGUGUCGUGAGAUGUUGGGUUAAGUCCCGCAACGAGCGCAACCCUUGCCGAUAGUUACCAUCAUUAAGUUGGGGACUCUAUCGGGACUGCUUUCGCAAGGAAGAGGAAGGUGGGGAUGACGUCAAAUCAUCAUGGCUCUUACGACCGGGGCUAGACACGUGCUACAAUGGCGGCUACAAAGGGUUGCUACUUAGUAAUAAGAUGCCAAUCUCAAAAAAGCCGUCUCAGUUCGGAUUGAGGUCUGCAACUCGACCUCAUGAAGUUGGAAUCGCUAGUAAUCGUAGGUCAGCAUACUACGGUGAAUACGUUCCCGGGUCUUGUACACACCGCCCGUCAAGCCACGAAAGAUGGAUGUGCCCAAAACUGUGGAUUUAACUCGCAAGGGACAAAUACCAGCUAAGGGCAAAUUUCUGUUGAUUGGGGCU